ensembl:lncRNA
GAAGCGAAAAGGGCUGACAGCUACAGCCUUCCUGUUGGGUUUAAAUUAGGAAACAGUGUUCCUGGUGAUUGCUAGAAAGCUAGACAGAGUCUAAAGUGCAUCUGAAAAUCUCAAAGGGUCCCCGGAAGCCUGCAGCCUAUCCCAGGGGACUCGGGGCACGAGGUGGGGGACGCAAUGGACAGGGUGCAAACCCAUCAAAGGGCACAAUCACACACGCAUUCACACAUCACAGACAAUUUAGAGAUGCCAAUCAGUCCACAGUGCAUGUCUUCGGACUAGGGGAGGAAACCGAAGUACCCGAGGAAACCCCGGAAGCACGGUGAGAACAUGCGAA